rnacentral:tRNA from 1 species
GCGGCACGUGCGCUGGACGCGCUUCCCGGCCUCCGAAGCUGGGUGUGCCAGGUUCGAUUCCUGGGUGUCGCACCA